ACUCCUUGACAUCUUGCGGAGAAGGCAAGUGUUUCCCGGACCGUCAUUUCGCCGACGUGAACAUCGUGCUGCCCGAUGUACGCCGAUGUCCUCUGAGGGACAAAUUCAUCCAUGUCAUGACCAUUAAUUCAGAAGUUCACAAUCAAGAAAUUAUCGCAAGAUGUGAUACCUUCAGAUUGGAGUCAAGUUUCCCUGACAAAGCCAGAAGUAGACUUGUUUUCCCGGAUCCAGGAGGGCCAAGCAGCAAGGACAUUCUGAAAGAAGUGCCAGUUAGAUGGAGACAGGCCUCUUCCCGCUAGAGACGAUGUGCAUAGCACUUAGUACAUCCUAUGAUGGUAGCAGCUCACAAGAGUUAGUAGCCGAAGGAAUUUCUUCUCCGUGGCUGCCUAAGAAGCAUGGAGGUGCCCGCUGCUGCAGAGGAGAUGCACAUGCAUACCAUGACUUUGUUGGAGAAGAAGUUGGUCAUCGUGGGGACACCUCGGUUGCCGACGUAGGCCUCGGCGUCGAUGUUCAGGUUCUCAAAACGCACCUCUAUCGUCGGAUUAUCGAUCCCAACCCUGCAG